UUGGAAGAAUUUUCACGAUGAUCUCCAUCUGCACAUUAACACAAGUUGAUAGAAUAGAAAUUGCCAAUAGUAAUGUGUUACAAUUGCAGUUAAUUUCCGACAUAUACAAACGUAGUCUACGCAGUAGCUGUUUGAAAUAUUUGAAAAUUCGUGGCUGAUGAAUGAAAUUUAUGUAUAAUUAUGAGUGAAAUCGAAUAUAAGUUAGAAUCAGAGUGAUUAUACCUAAAAUUGUCACGCGUUAUAAGUAUAUUCAACGUGUAUAAUGCAUUUCUGCGGUAAUUUUAUUACAGUGUGGUAGGAAAGUUGGAAUUUCACGAGCGGGAAUGCAACGGGUGAUAAUGCUUUACUGAGAUUUCUUCAAACCCACCGCAAGGCUUUCAACUGUAGAAAGUACCGGCUGACAAUGACGACCCGAGGUUCAUUUUGACUUUCUUCAUCAAGUAUACUUCGUAACUGGCUGUUAAACAGUUUGACGAAUAGCUGAACGUA